UAUUGGUCAAUGGGCGAGAGCCUGAACCAGCCAAGUCGCGUGAGGGACGACUGCCCUAUGGGUUGUAAACCUCUUUUGUAGGGGGGGAAUAAGCUUUACGAGUAGAUUGAUGACAGUACCAUACGAAUAAGCAUCGGCUAACUCCGUGACAGCAGCCGCGGUAAUACGGAGGAUGCGAGAGUUAUCCGGAUUAAUUGGGUUUAAAGGGUGCGUAGGCGGCAUUAUAAGUUAGUGGUAAAAUAUUGGGGCUUCACCUCACUGCGCCAUUAAUACUGUAGAGCUAGAGAACAGACGAGGUAGGCGGAAUAAGUUAAGUAGCGGUGAAAUGCAUAGAUAUAACUUAGAACACCGAUAGCGAAGGCAGCUUACCAGACUGAGUCUGACGCUGAUGCACGAGGGCAUGGGUAGCGAACAGG
rnacentral:rRNA from 1 species